CCUAACUCACAAUUCAGAGAAGGAUUGGAAUAGAGAAGAGAAGAACAGAAUAGUGAAGAGAAGAGAGAGAAGAGCAACAAAGAAGAUUCGAGAAAAAGAGAAAAAAGGGAGAGAGAAAAGAGAUAAAGAAUUAGGGAAGAAAUGAUAUUUGUUUUACUAAUUGCAUUAAAUGUAUUCUUCAGCAGCACAAAGCAUUUAUACUCUCAAUGCAUGACUCUACUUUCUCAAUACAAGACUUACAUUGAUUGACUAAUACAGCUAACCAAUUAUUAUUGUUCCCGCCACUUAUUGCCAACUCAGCAACUGCACAGUAGACUUACUCACUUAACUCUCUUCCUAACAGUAGAUUACUCUAAAGAUUUAAUCAUGCUCAUCUGGAGGCGAAAUAUGAUGAGAGUGAACAGUUGCUGAUGAGGCCAAAGCUCGACGGGCUAUAUUAGGGUGCUGAUUUCUUAGAUCAUCAUAGUACUCAUUAAUCCACCCUUCAAUAAUUUUGAUCUCAACUUCUCGUUGUGCUACCAACCACACUGGAUCAGUUGUUUUGUUUGCAAAAAGUAUGUCCAAGCAAUGAGACCCGUUAACUGUAUAAACAGCAGUUAUGUUGUCCGAUAAGUUCUCCAACACCCCGCCACUACUAUAAGGAUCUUUCAAUCCAUUGGAGAAAAUGAUGUUGCUGCCAUACCUCUGGAGAAUAACUUUUAUACUGUGGUUUCCAUAAUAGGCAGUGACCCAAUGAGGACGGGGUGGAACGCCAAACAAAUCUUUGCAAUCUUGGAUGUAGCUCUUGAGGUCAAAAGGGUCAGGGGGGAACAUGGUGUCAUUCCCGCGGCCAAUAGGUAUCACCAUCUCGCUACAUGUCUCCCAUCUCCACCCCAUACUUGUUUCAGGUACAUUAGCUGGUGAAUUAAUAUAGCAAGAUCUGUCUCCCAUGUAAGCAAAAAGACCAGCAAAUAUUUUGCUUAGAUUAUCUUUGCCAGAAUCGGUGCUUGAGCUUCCAUCUAUGCCACUGCAGACUAUAUUUACAGGAUAUGUGGGUGGCUUAUUGUACUGAGCAGCAGAACUAUACAUGGAGUCCAAGUAGUUUUUGAGCUCAUCAGAGUCGGUUAAGGGUUUGCAAGUCUUGAAUUUCUUGCUGAGGAUUGAAAGGCCAUUGGGUUUAGAAGCAAUUUCAUCAAUUACUGCCCAUGACUUUUGUAUUGUCUGUAAGCAAGUCUCACUUGCUUCUCUAAAAUCCUUGGUGACAAUGGAAUAGUAUCCAUCCUGUGGAGUAAUAUCAUCAAAGUAAAGAACAGGUGCUGAUGAAGCCAAAGCUCCAAGGGCUAUGUGA
rnacentral:misc_RNA from 1 species